rnacentral:rRNA from 1 species
GUAGGUGGCAAGCGUUGUCCGGAUUUACUGGGCGUAAAGAGCGCGCAGGCGGUCGUUCAAGUCGCGUGUGAAAGCCCCCGGCUCAACUGGGGAGGGUCACGCGAUACUGAUCGACUCGAAGGCAGGAGAGGGUAGUGGAAUUCCCGGUGUAGUGGUGAAAUGCGUAGAUAUCGGGAGGAACACCAGUGGCGAAGGCGACUACCUGGCCUGUUCUUGACGCUGAGGCGCGAAAGCUAGGGGAGCAAACGGG